AAUAAAGAAUCUGACACUGGAGUUGCAACAGCCACCUUGUGUCAAUAAGGAAAGAGCUAGCUGGAGAAGUCUGUACUGAAGAAAAGUGGUGAGCAUCAGGUGGGCAGGAAACCUACAUAGAAAAUACCCUGCGAUCAGCACUUUUGUCUUGCUGCUCUGGCUGCUCUCUGUAGAUCCCAGAUAUAAUAUGCUCAUUUCUUUCACUGUAUAAAAUGAACUGACUACAGGAAGAAACUGAGCAAAUUAACACCUAAAUCAAGAGGAAAUCAACAACCCUGGGAACCCACAGAACACGUCUGACAGCUGCAGGACUCAGAUUCUCAGUUCAACAAAUUAUGAUUCACGAAGACUCUCCGACAGGAAAAACAGUUUCUACUACAACCUAGUGGGUUUAUAUGUGAGUGUGUGUGAGCCUGAGGGGGUGGGGGAAGGGGGGAAGGAGGGAGGGAGGGGGAGGGAGAGAGUUAUGUGUGUGUGUGUGGUUUAAUUAGUUUAGCUAAAGGAAGAAGAACAUGUCCCAAAUUUUUAAUUUUAAUCACAACUGGCAUUUCAUUAGCUUAAGAUGAACAGUUUUCU